rnacentral:lncRNA from 1 species
ACAACAACACCACCUCCCAAAACCAGCCCAGUCCAAACCAUCCAACCGGCCCAAACACCCAACAAACCGACCCGCCAGCCCAACUUCCCUUUUUUUUCUCCCCUUAACAAGUACACCAGCAACCAACGACAGACAACACAUAAACUACACCUUCUUCUUUUCAAUUCUCAUGCGUUUUGCUCACUGGAAAAAGAUGGAUUAUUGGACUGUGAGAGAAAACAAUACUGUUUAAGUGCAGGAUCUUUUUUUUCAUUUGUGAGAUAGGCAUUCCCUUUAUGAAUAGAAAAACAUGCACAUGUCCUGUAGAAAUCCGGACUGAAUAAACCAACGACUUUUUUUAUAUGAAUAUAAAUGUUGUCUUCUUUACGUCCAUUUUUUACGACACCGUAAGGCAAUAAUCUACAUGCUCCCUUCCCUUUUCUAUGGGUCCUUUUCUUCACGUGUUGUUUCCUUUAAACCAAUUUCUUAAUCUUGCUUGUGACUUGAAUAUGGAAUUGAAAGCUUUUGAAGUGUUGUAGUUUACUGGAAACAGAGGUUUUCUUUGUAAAUAUGUGGUUUGUUGUUGAAAAUGCUUAUCUGGAAACUUUUUUUUCCCCUCCAAGUUCAUGAUAAUGAGUUUGGUAUAAGUUUAUUUGGUUUGAUACAUAAAUGGACAGUAUCUCAUGAUAAACAAAGCUGCAUCAUUUUUUUUUUUCCCCGCUCCCCUUUUCUUCUUUCGGUUAGUUGUCAUCCCUAUUGUGCGGUUGUAUGAAUACUAAUCUUAUCUCAUCUUUUCUUGUGCAUGAAAUCCCAUAUAUCGAGUCCGAAUGGACUCCAUCUCUUGCAUAUUUCGAGAUGGGCCGAGAAGGUCCGAGCUAUCGAGUCUAGCUUCAUGCUAAAGUCCUAUACGGACUGAUACAGUGCUGGUAUACAGCAGAUAUACGCAAGUAUAUGGGUCCAAAAACGGGAGUGGAAGGGGAAGCUUAAUAUACAGUUGGAGGACCGAAUUUAUGUAUACUUGACUGAAAUACAGUCAUAUAUACGUUGGAUAUACAGAAAAACGUGGAGAAAAGAGCUGUGAUAUACAGCUGAUAUACACUGCAGAAAUGGACCCAAAGUCCAUAAUUCAAAGCCCAAACUUGGGCAGCUUUAUUAAUGGGCCAAUUAAGGCCCAAUUUCAAUUCUUGUAUUAUUUUUGUAGCCUAUAAUUCAUCUUUGUUUAUAUGUACUAGCAUUCUAAUCAAUUAAUCUAGACAAAUUCCUCAAA